rnacentral:rRNA from 1 species
UACGAAGGGGGCUAGCGUUGCUCGGAAUCACUGGGCGUAAAGCGCACGUAGGCGGAUUGUUAAGUCAGGGGUGAAAUCCUGGAGCUCAACUCCAGAACUGCCUUUGAUACUGGCGAUCUCGAGUCCGGGAGAGGUGAGUGGAACUGCGAGUGUAGAGGUGAAAUUCGUAGAUAUUCGCAAGAACACCAGUGGCGAAGGCGGGUCUCUGGACAGUUCCUGACACUGAGGCACGAAGGCCAGGGGAGCAAACGGG